CAGCACCUCAAGUGGUCAGGAUGAUUAUUGGGCCUAAAGCAUCCGUAGCCGGCUCUGUAAGUUUUCGGUUAAAUCUGUACGCUUAACGUACAGGCUGCCGGGAAUACUGCAGAGCUAGGGAGUGGGAGAGGUAGACGGUACUCGGUAGGAAGGGGUAAAAUCCUUUGAUCUAUUGAUGACCACCUGUGGCGAAGGCGGUCUACCAGAACACGUCCGACGGUGAGGGAUGAAAGCUGGGGGAGCAAACCGGAUUAGAUACCCGAGUAGUC
rnacentral:rRNA from 1 species